GUGAUGAUAGCUUAAUACAUAAAGCAUUGGUCUUGUAAGCCAAAGAUGCACUAGUGUGCUCAUUACU
rnacentral:tRNA from 1 species